rnacentral:rRNA from 1 species
UACGGAGGGAGCUAGCGUUAUUCGGAAUUACUGGGCGUAAAGCGCACGUAGGCGGCUUUGUAAGUAAGAGGUGAAAGCCCAGAGCUCAACUCUGGAAUUGCCUUUUAGACUGCAUCGCUUGAAUCAUGGAGAGGUCAGUGGAAUUCCGAGUGUAGAGGUGAAAUUCGUAGAUAUUCGGAAGAACACCAGUGGCGAAGGCGGCUGACUGGACAUGUAUUGACGCUGAGGUGCGAAAGCGUGGGGAGCAAACAGGAUUAGAUACCCCCGUAGUCC